AGAGAACUCCCAUAAUCUCAUUUUCCCUUUUCCCUCUCAUUUUCUAUUCUCUAUAUUCUCCCAACUCUCUCACACUUUUCUCUCAAUAUCAUAACAACACCAACACAAAAGAAAAAGAAAAUAAAACUCCUCCUCCUUCAAGAAGCAACGACCGGUCAUCACCUCUAUCCGCCACCACUGCAUCGCUAUGUUGGUUCCUUCUGGAAGUCUUCCUCUCCACUCUUCGGCGCGAUAGCGCCCUUCCCCCCGGCUCUGCUCCUCGCGAUUUCCCUCUGUCAACCCGCUCCCUCUGUUGUGCAAGUUGCUCUUCUGUUGUGUUUCUCUCUUCGUCGCGGCUGCAUAUCUCCGAUGAACUUCACUUCUCCGACGAUCUCCUUAUCAUUUCUUCCAAUUUGAUUUUGGAAUUACCAAAGAGAUUCUGA